rnacentral:rRNA from 1 species
AUUGAACGCUGGCGGCAUGCUUUACACAUGCAAGUCGAACGGUAACAGGCCGCAAGGUGCUGACGAGUGGCGAACGGGUGAGUAAUGCAUCGGAACGUGCCCAGUCGUGGGGGAUAACUACUCGAAAGAGUAGCUAAUACCGCAUACGAUCUAUGGAUGAAAGCGGGGGACCGUAAGGCCUCGCGCGAUUGGAGCGGCCGAUGUCAGAUUAGGUAGUUGGUGGGGUAAAGGCUCACCAAGCCAACGAUCUGUAGCUGGUCUGAGAGGACAACCAGCCACACUGGGACUGAGACGCGGCCCAGACUCCUACGGGAGGCAGCAGUGGGGAAUUUUGGACAAUGGGCGCAAGCCUGAUCCAGCAAUGCCGCGUGCAGGAAGAAGGCCUUCGGGUUGUAAACUGCUUUUGUACGGAACGAAACGGCUCUGGUUAAUACCCGGGGCUAAUGACGGUACCGUAAGAAUAAGCACCGGCUAACUACGUG